rnacentral:pre_miRNA from 7 species
UUCUGGCUGGCCUGGAACUCACUAGGUAGAAGUGAAAGACCCUCGAAGGGAGAGCCUCACUCAAGUCUCGGGAUAAUAGCGGACACCCCAAGAACUCACGAGAGUCC